ACAGAACCAUAUAAUAAGGAAAGAGAGAGAUACGGUUCGAACAAAAACGGCAAAAAAAAGUUUUGUCGAUACCUUUUUUUAACUCUCUUUAGCGUCAAGGAAAAAUCAGUGAAGAAAACCUUAAGAGUAGAUCUUGUUUUUGAUUCUGGUACAAAAACCCAUGGCGACUGAGCGUCCUUCUUCUUUUGAGCUCGCCAAAGGUAUCAAUGGCCUCGACAAAAUCGUCCUCCGCCAGUCUCGUUUCCGCUCCGCCGAGGUAUACUUGUAUGGUGGUCAUGUGACUUCUUGGAAGAAUGAGAACGGUGAAGAGUUGCUUUACCUCAGCAGCAAGGCUAUAUUCAAGCCUCCAAAACCAAUCCGUGGAGGGAUUCCGCUAUGCUUCCCACAAUUCAGUAACCUUGGUACACUCGAAUCACAUGGAUUCGCUAGAAACAGGAUCUGGGAAGUUGAUGCUAGCCCACCUCCUUUGCCAACGUAUUCUUCUCCUAAUGCUUUCGUUGAUCUGAUCCUGAGGCCAACUGAAGACGACCUGAAGACAUGGCCUCACAAUUUUGAGUUCAGGAUGAGGGUGGACUUGGGAUCUGAAGGAGAAUUGACACUGACAUCUCGUAUCAGGAACACCAGCGCUGAUGGAAAGCCGUUUACAUUCACAUUUGCUUACCACACCUAUUUCUCUGUCUCGGACAUCAGUGAAGUACGGGUUGAAGGUUUGGAGACACUGGAUUAUCUAGACAACUUAAAGAACAGAGAACGUUUUACGGAGCAAGGAGAUGCUAUUACUUUUGAAUCCGAAAUUGACAAGAUAUACCUAAGCACUCCUACAAAGAUUGCUAUUUUGGACCACGAGAAAAAGAGGACCUUCGUUGUACGCAAGGAUGGGCUUGCUGAUGCAGUGGUGUGGAAUCCAUGGGAUAAGAAGUCAAAGACGAUAUCAGACUUGGGAGAUGAAGACUAUAAGCAUAUGCUAUGUGUUGAAGCUGCAGCUGUGGAAAGACCCAUCACAUUAAAACCGGGUGAAGAAUGGAAAGGAAGACUCGAGCUCUCUGCGGUUCCUUCAAGUUACUCCAGUGGACAGCUUGACCCCAAGAAAGUCCUCCAAUGAACCUUUCAAACUUCAAAAAAAUAUCACUCUUUCUCCUCUCUUUUUCUUAUUUGAUUUCAGUACUACGAAGAAACGAGUGAAGGAAGGCGUAAAGAUGAUAUGGUGUUUUGGUUUUCGCAAUUGAAUAAAUAAAUUUCUUCUAAGUCCACUAUAAAAUAAUACUUGUUGAUUAGUUUUUGCCUAUUGGAGAGUUUUUUUUUGUUUUGCUUAUAUGGAUAGUUGUAGUAGACCAAUCAGUGCUUGUGUCUAGCCUUUGUCCGGUCAGGUCCAAAGGUAUUUCGAACUUGUAAAAGUAUAUUGAUAAAAAAUGAAUAUCAAAUCGAAAGAAUAGUACUACAAGUCCCUAAAUCAAAUACUUUUCGAGUAUGAUUAUGGUGCGUUAGUUAUAUUGUUAACGUCUCUGUCUUGAGUUCACAAUGCAUCCACUUUGUCUAAAUGACAUCAACCGAGCAUUAACUUUGAAAUUAACACUACUAAUUACAAAAGUUAAUGGUUUGAUGUGGACAUCAAUUAUUGAAGUGCCGUAAUAACUGUUAAGUAACUCGAGAUCUUAAUAAGUACGAGAUAAAUCAUCGUGGGGAUACUUAACAAAGAUACUGUUCUGUGAAAACGAAAACUCAGAACAAAAAUAUAUCUCCGGGAAGGAAAAAAGAAAACAAAUAAGGCAUUUUUUUGGAUCCACACGAGAUUACAUCUGGCUCGAACAUCAAGAGAUUCCCUAGCUUUUGCAUUAAACUAUUUUAUACAAAAAUAAUAGUAAUUAUUAUUGAUAGUGUUUUGUCGUUAAUGCUUUUCAUUGGUUACAUAGUCAUAUUCUGAAUCUGAUUCAUUGUAUGUGGGAGCUGAGGUUGUCCUUAGUUGGUCCACUGUUAUUACCACUAUUAUACAAUUUUGGAGAAACAGUAUUAAAACAUAUCCGUAGUAUAUUGUACUCUAUAUGUCAUAUGAUAUAUAUAUAUAUAUAUAUAUAUAUAAUAUCCAACUCGAGUUAAUCUGUCAGUUUGCCUAAUGUUAAUGAGAUCGUUUUUUGGCGGGUUAAAUAUUAAUGAGAUUAGUUGAAUAUAGGUAUGAAACAACGCAGCCGUAUAAAUAAAAAAUAUAUACAAAAAAUGAAACUAUACAGAUAUAAUCUAAUUCAAUUAUCAGAUUGAGGAUAAUUAUUUUUUUAACGAAAAUAAAUAAUUGUGGAAUCAAUAUAAAAGAGAAGAGUAUAUUUCACUUUAGUAAAUUUUGGGGGGGAAAAUUGUAAGAUCACUCCAUGAUAUUGCGAAUAUGAACUACUCUAUGAACUAAUCUAAAUUUUUCAUAAAUUGUCAUUUCAGGUUUCGUUUUCAGCUGAACUAUAUAUGUGAUGUAAUGUACUAAUAAUCACCAAAAGCAGAUAGAAAAGAUUUUUGGAAUCGCGAUCUCCGACCGGCGGUGUGGUUUCUCUGUACCACCGUCGGUCGGGAAAAGUUGUUUUAUAGCGAGGUUUAAUCUUCGAUUCUCGCGUUCUCUUCCCGGCAUGGACGGCUCCGGCGGUGUUGCAUGUCCGGCCCCUGCUCCGGUGUCGCAUCUUUCGAUUGAUGGGCGACCGGCUUUGACUCCGGAGACCACACCUUCUUCUUCGGUGAUGGUCUGUCGGCACUUAGCUUUUCUGUUAGUGUUGGUUGUUUUAUUUCUGGGUUUAAUCGGUCUUUGCUUGAUUUCCUUAAUCCGUGGGGCUGGUUUUAAUCUCGGAUUUGGUGGCUUGGAGGCUGUGGAUGAGAUCUCGAAUUGAUCGAUGAUGCUCUCCGCUUAAGGAUUCCAGGCACUGAAGGGUUGUGAUGCAGUUUCUAGUUUCCGGUGUGUUUACCGGCGCCGUUUAGUUUCUCCGGCGUGCUCUCUAGGGGUGAGGAAAGUGGAAGGCCUGGAUGAUGCGUGUACCUCGUUUGGUUGAGGGCUAACCACGUGUCAUAUUCUCGAUAAGAAUCUCGACGUAUGUUUGUCGAGUGUUGUUGUUGGGUCAACGUUUAGUGUUACUGGGCUUCGAAGCCCAACUGUUAUCUCUUUUACUUUGUGCUAUAGUUUAAGUUUUGUAUCAGUUGUUUGUUUUUUGAAUGGUCCUUGUACUAUGUGAGCUUUGGCUUUUUAAUAAAAUAAGAUGGCAAAAAAAAAAAAAAAAAAAAAUCACCAAAAGCAGAUAAAAUCUAAUCUAAGAGCUGAGUUACAAGUGGAGAAAUAACCCACAUGAGGAAGGCCCACUUUUAGCGUCCAGGUUUUCGACACGUGUGUUUCUGGGACCACCAACUAGCUUCAGAAAACCCUAAUGAUAUCGUAAUUAUCUGAAAUGUUAUUUAUUUUUUUUAAGGCAAAUGUUAUUUUAUUUUAUCGAUUUACUAAUUAUCCCUCCCUGAAAAUGUUUAGCUUUUUCUGACUUGAGUGAAUAUGACAACUUUCGGUCCGAUCUUCUUCUUUCUUUACACUGAUCUUUGGUCGGAUCUUAUAAUAUAUUGAUACCACCACGGUUUAUUCAUUGUUUUUCUUUAUACACAAUCCUUUUUUUUUUCCUUUCCUUUGUACCUACUUACCUCAGUGAGGAAUUAAAUACGUUUAAUAAAGAAAGAAAACUAUAAAUUAUAUACAGAACAAGUGUAAUUAAAAUUAAAUUGACGGUUGUUUCUUUAGGUUUAUACAUAAACUCUACAAAUAAAAAGACAAAUCUGAAUGUGUGUGUAUAGUCACUAUAGUGGGGUAGGAGCAGGACCCACAAUGUCUAUUAGAAAGGCUACAACGCGUGCUAACUCUUUUUAUUAUUAAUCCCAAAUUUAUUAACUCUCUCUUUGCUUCCACAUGCCGUCACUUCUUCUUAUUAUUUCUUUUACAUUUAUUCACAAUAGAUCAUAAUGACCAAAUCACCCCCUUGUUUUCACCAUUUAACUAUUCAUACUUUUGGGAUUCGUUUUAUGACCUAUAAUUAUUCAUAAACUAACCAACCGGGCACAUAAACAAGAAAAAAAAACUAAAUAGGUUUUAGCAAAAAAUACGUGACUAUUUAUAAUAGCAACAAUGAGAAAUGUUUUAUAUUACGAUGUAACAAAUUGCUAUUCAUGUAUAGUACCCAUGUCCGUUCUUAUUCGUGUGUUCUAAUAUUAUCCAAUAUGAGGCAGACAAAUAUAAUUUUGAGUAUCUUCUGUAGUUUAUUUUUUCAUCUAUUUCACAGACAAAAACAUUGUAAGUAACGGUCUAUCUGUACAGAAUAAACAGACAAUAAUUCAUGUGAUGUACUAUUCGAAACUUAGAUGUUGACCUGCAGAUUCAAACUUUGGAACUCUAAACAAAUCUGAUUUUAUUUAAGCCAAUAGAAGCAAUCAUCGUGCCCCUAAUUACUGUUAAGUAUUGUACUUGAUAUCAUGUUUGGUUUGGUUUUAGAAUUAUAGUUUAACUAAUUGUUUUUAUAUGAUUUUAUAUGAGUUUCCUUCUUGCUUCUCGUCUCACAUGGCUCCGCCUAAUCCAGCCAUCUCUUUUUCUCUACAAUAAUCACAUUUAACUGAUUUUUUAAUUUAAUAACAUACGCAUGCAUCCGCGGAAGGAAUCGUUUGAUUUUUUAUUACAACAUCCUGUAAUUAAAUAUUAACCGCAGAUCAAUAUAAAACAAAGUUCAUCUUCCUUGCCGGUGUGUGUUUUUUCCGGCGGUGGUGCGCCAUCAGUGCCACCGUCGGAAUAGCUUUGGAUUUUUGUUUUGUUUUUGCGUUUUAAGUGUCUGUUUAGUUCCCUCUCCAACAUCGGUGACAAUCGUUUUGCAUCGUCUGGUUGGUUUUUGACUCUGGUGUCAUCACUUUAUACUCUAGUGAGGACAGCCGGCUCUUGACUCUGAUUUCGACCUUUCUUCAAGGUGAAGUCGGCUUUUCCCGAUUGAUUCCAAAUCAAUGGGAUGUCUCUGUUUUUAACUCUUGGUGGUUUGGUGUUGCGGAUGAGAUCUCGACUUCGGUCGAUCGAAGCUCUCUGUUGUAAGGUGGUUCCGAUGUGUGUGAAGACCUUCUCUGGGAUUAUGGAUGUGAUAUGGAUGAGAUCUCGAUUAGGGACGAUUGACGUUCUUCGAUCGAUGGAUCUGAUGCAAAGAAGGUGUGGGCUUCACAGCUGGUGGUUUCUUUGGGUGUGGUACUGUUCCCGGUUAGGUUCCGGUGGGUUGCCGUGUUUCCGGCGACGACAUGCAAUUUGAUGAAGACGGUGGAGACUUUCCAACAUGUGGUCUUUCGUCCUCGUGCUUUGUACACGUGGUAGGGACGUGUUGUUUUCUCUUGUGCUGUGGGUUUACUUGGGCCAUUAUUGGGCUUUGUUCGUUUUUUUGGUUUAUGUCAUAGGGUUGUAUGCUGGUUGAAUGUCCUUUAUGUGGGCUUUUUAUACAUGUAUGUACUAUCAAUAAAUAUCAGUGAAAAAAAAAAAAAAAAAAAAAAAAAAAAACCGCAGAUCAAUAUAGUUUUAAAAAUUGUUGAAUUUUAUAAUAUUUGAGAUAUAGUAAUCAUUUUGGGAUCUAUAUUCAAGAAUUGCAUUAUUGCAAUAGCAAAACACGAUGCAAUGUGUUUCUUAAUGCACCGGCAAUUAGUUGAAACUUAAAAGAUUGGCUAGAUCAUCUAUGAACUCCAAUAUAAAAUAUUAGUAUAUUUCACUUAUCCUAUUGUUACUAAUCAUAAUCAUUAGAAAACUUAAUUAGCAUCGUUGCCAUCUUUUGAGAUUGAUAUACAGAUUGAUGAACUUUUAGACCAAAUUACAUACACACAGAUUUUAUUAUGCUAAAUCUUUGGUAGUUCAUUAAUUUACAUGGAUUAAUCAAAAAGAUCUUUUUAAUGUAUUAAUUAUACUUUUAGUUAAAAAUGUAUUUAUACUCUACACUCGUUACUUACACACAAACAUGAAUACAUCAUACAUGAUAGAUAUAAUUAUACAACAUAACAACAUUAUUAAAAUAACUCAAAUAGAGUAUACUAAUUCAAAUAUUCAUGUGACCAUGUGAGUAUAACUCAAUAGAGUAGUAAUCAUUAUCAUUUUUAUAUUUAAUAUGUAUUAUAAUUCAAACAUAACUACGAUAAGUCGGUGCGUAAUCGAAGUACCCCAUGUUAGCACGAGAUAUUUUUUUUUUUUAGAAAACUGGCCUUAGCACGAGAUUUCUUUGAGAGGAGAUUGCGAAACAAGUAGAAGACAAGCUAGAUUAAAAUAUAGAAAUAUAUUUUUAGUUUUAAUGAAACUUUUGAUGUCACUAAAUUCAUGCUGAUAGUUUUUUUUUCGAGAGGUUUAAUUUGGAAUCUUAUGAAUUAAAUUAUAUUUCUUUUUUUUUUGUUAUGGUCCCUCUUUUUUUCAAUGGCCAUUGAUUUUAGAACAAAAGCGAAUCAUUUCACGCAGUUUAUAUUCAUUCAAUUUAUCUCAAAAAUUAUAUCACUAUUAGAUAAUCUAUGAAUUAAUCAGCUAUUGAUCCGUCUGCAUUUUCCGAAUCAUAUCCAGUAAAUCAAGAGUUAUUUUAACAUGUGUUUAUAGAAGCUUAAGCAAAAUUAUCACCAUCUAACGUAUUCGGUGUUACCUCAUCAAUUCAAAUUUCGAUAAUGUCAGCAAACGUUAAAGUCUUAAAAAAUCAUGCAUUAUCUUUACGAUCUUCAUUCAGAUGUUAGGUUUUUUCAAACGGAAAUGUUUUUCAGAUGUUAAGUUGGUCAUCUUAAAAUGCAUUUAGUCACUAGAGUAACUACACGAAAUGGUUAUAUGAAUCUAAGUUUCCUAAAACAUCAACCAUAUAAUUAUAUUUCCAUCAAAUGUAUACAAAAGUUUACGAUCUCAUAUGUAGGCAAGUUGGAAAAACGCAAGACAGGAGAAAGGCAAAGAAAAACAAAAAACUAUUAUUCCAUUUAUAAAAAAGCUAACAAGUGAUAUACUAUAAGAGGAUGAUGAGGAUCUAUCUCAUUAAACUUGGUGUCAGAUGAAAAAAGAUAAUCAUGAGAUUUUUGGGUAUGGUUGGAUAAUAUCAUAAUACCCAGUACGGAAGAUGAUGGUGGAGAAUAUAUACGUCUUCAUUUAUAUUGGUAAAAGAAUAUACAGAAAUGGGAAUCAUUUGAAUUCCCCAAAAUAAUACAAAACGACACUAUUUUCAUAUUUUGUUACAAAAGAUAGUAGCUCUGUCUCCAAUUGGUUGUUAUUAUAAUAUUUUAUCUGUUUUAGUUUUUAUAUGGUUACAUGCAUAUAUAUAUAUAUAUAUAUAUAUAUAUAUAUAUAUAUAUAUAUAUAUAUAUAUAUCUUGAUCAUGUCCAGUGAGGACUUGUCUGGAAUAUAUUGGCUAAAAAUCAUUUUCUUUUGUUCAUCAUUUGUCCAAAUCCUCUUGAUCUUCUCAGUUUUAUAUUAUAUCAACACAUCCAAUUAUUUUCAUACCCCUGCAUACACAUAUAAUAUUCAUAACCAAAUCGUCUUUCAUAAGACUUAGGAUUCUAUAUUAUCAGUAAUACCUUUUUUUUUUUCCACUGGUAGAUUUAUUAAGGGUCUAAGCCCAAUAUUAAAGACAACAAAAAGUCCAAACAGAAAGGGCGAACUUAAAAACAAACGUUUAGGGCCUUCAGCCCAAUAAACUCAAGCCGUUGAGAAGGAAACACGUUAUCCACCACGUAUAAGAACGCCCAGCGCACUCAAGACACGCGUCAAGAUGAACGAUCACUUCCUUCGCCGGAGUCAGAGAAGAUGAUUGCCGGAGCUCCGCCAUCAGCGAAGAAACGAACCGGUGGAGGACCAACUGAGUAGUUCUCACAGAGUUCAACCCGGAAUUUCUAGUCAUAUUAUCAGUAAUACCUAACAUAUGUAAAUUCUUGGGACAUUAAUUGAUUCAUUUUUUGAGUUAAAAGUUUAAACUACAAAAUAGAGUAGUUUUUUACAAUUCAUCUUUACUUGAAGAGUUUUAUUACUAAAAACCCUUUAUAUUUGUGGCAUAUAAAUUAAUUAAAAAGGCUCAUCUUCUGGAGAAUAUUCGAGACUAAAAUAUUAAGGUUAUAGUUAUACUAGUGAAUUCAUAAUAUUUAUAUAAAAGUGGUUAUUGUUUUCUCUGUCUAUUAGAGAGUGGAGAAAUAGAUGAACAUACAAACUUUUAGCAUAUGGAAACCCUCAGCAUUUUCCUUGCCUCCUUCACAAAUAUCACAGCCUGUCAAAAUUAGCCCUUUAAAACUACUAUUAAACUUCAUCACUAUAUAGGGGGUAUUUGCUUAUUAAUCUUUUAAUUAUUAUAAGCAUUUCCUUAGCUGUGAAUUCCCAUUAUCCCCCUCCUCUCUCGCCCCCUCUUUCUCUAUAUUUCUCUCUCCUUCCUCACUGCUUUACUCCUAUAUUGAUUGUUGACAAAGUCCUAAAGUGAUCUCUUAGAUUUUGGAUUAUUUAUUAAGUUAUGCUUUGGAGCGAAUUGUUGAAGAAACAUAUAGCAUAAGGUAAGUGUAUAUAUGCGUCUUAAACGGCUUCUAUAAGCUUCUCUAAGUGAGUUUUCUGGCAUGAACUCAGAGCCUUAGAACAUGAUCAAUGACCUUCUUUGGAGACAAUCACAGCUUGGCCACUCUUCUUUUCAGGCAUGGGAACAAAGAUCGUUGAGCGAAUUACGACAAACUCAUUUGGCUUAGAGAGUGUCGAUUGUAGUGGAUUCGUCAGAUUUGGUGUUGAUGAUCAACGAAAAUCUUCAAAGGAGAAAUUGACCGACGACAAAGAAGAGAACGGAGUUUUUGUUUAAAGGUCAAUGGAUAGGUUUCUUGAAAAGCAAAGUGCUGAGUCCAUCAGACGGACAAUGCAAGCCCAAGAAGAUCUUUUCAAGCAACAGGUACGAGAGCUGCAUAGAGUAUAUAAUAUACAGAAGAAGAUGAUGGAGCAACUCAAACAUAGAAGCCAGUAUUGUACUACUAACAACCAAGACCAAACCGGUCCAAGAGAGAGAACCGGAAGCUGGUCAGGCAUAGUCCUGGAAAAUGUAGCUAGAGCCAGGAACACAACAACGGCGGAACAUGUUGAAGAAAGCGAACUAGAAUUGACAUUGAGCAUUGGAAUGUCUUCUUCCUCUAUGAACAAGGACAUGGACUACUCGUCGACGACGUCAUUCAGAUCAUCAUCGGAUAAUUGUAAUAAUCAGAGCAACAAUAUUAACUGUAAUAACCAAGAAAGUAGCGGACCAACCACGCCUAUGAGCAGCUCAAGUACGACGUCAUUGGACCGAGAGAAGAAGAGACCUCAUUGGCUCUUUCAGGGACUUAGUAUUAACCGGACUUCAUGAUUUUUGUUAAUUCACUGACUCUUUCUUUUUCCUUCUUCGACUUCUUCUUGGUUUUCUUCUUUUGUAUCUUAUUUGUUACUAUUAUUAUCUACCAGAUUUACUGAUA